CUGGAGGAGAGAGGGAUGAGGAGAGAGGAGGAGAGGGAAGGGCUGAUAACCAAGACAACGACACAAAGAUGGCGACCACUUCCACCGCGGGACGUCCACGGGAGCCCAAGGGCUGGACGGCUCAGAACCGUCGCCGUGUCUUCUGGCACCCUUAUAACAGGAUGACGACGGGUCUGACCCGCCAUCACCGACCCCAACACAUCACCGCCACGGCUUGUAUGGGCAGGGAACCCAUGGCCAGGGAGUGUGCCCCCCCCGUUAUGUCUGGGAGGAGAGUGGUCCCAGCCCCCUGGAGGAGUAGUGCAUGGGGGCGCCAUUCAGGAAUCUUCGGUGCAGCUGUUUUAAGGUCGAUGACUGACGGACUGACAGGCUGACUAGGGGCGCGUGAUCGACAUGCUCGUCUGCUGCGGUAUGCUCUCGUGCUGUUCUACUGUCAGUAAAUCAGGAGAUGGGUUCUGCGCCGGGCGACUGGAGUUCCAAGGAAAGAAAGGUAUGUAUAGUGGGUUUGACUCUUUUUCUGCGUGUUUUGGGCUAUCGUUUGUUGUUUUCCAUUUCAUUUCAUUUAAGACAUUCGCUUAUUUUUCUGCAACGAAUUCUUAGACAAUAUAGUACUUGUGCUUCAGCUUCGUUUUUAUUGAGCGCUUGUAGGAUUUUUAGCCGACUUUGGACCCUAUAACCGUUUAAAUGUGACACUUCAGGAAACGCCAUUCUAUUUUACGGGGUAUUUUGAAUAAACAGUGUAAAAAUAAUCUCCCGAUUGAAUUUUGUAUUCAUACGGCUAAUUUAUAUUUUCG
rnacentral:lncRNA from 1 species